rnacentral:lncRNA from 1 species
GCUCCUCAUCACCAGAGGUAUGCAAGCUUAGUAGGGACACCAUAGAGAGAAGUCAAACAUCAGAAGAGGUUGGGCAUCAUAGCCUUUCCUACCACCAGCCUCGGAUCUCACAUGCCAGCUCUAGCUGCUUUGGGAAAAUCAUGAGCUGAGCCUUCCUGCAGCCUGGAUGUCAGAUUCCCAGCCAGACAUGACAUCAGUUCUGCCCUAACUUUGCACAAGGGCCUCUUGGACCUCCUACGUCCUACCUCCCACUUCCUUUCCACUGCUGCCUCCUGCCUUCCCAGGGGACACCAGGCCUGACCAAAGAGACUUGGAGUCUGGUUGUGAGAUGGAGGUCCCCGAGGAACAUUCAGCUGAUGGCCUUCCGCCCGGCAGGAAUGAGACAAAGGGGGCCAGGGUCCCUGGGAUCCCUGUUCACACGCUCCAGAGAGUCUGCGUGGAAAUUCCAGGAGGGUCACAGGAAAGCUUCAAAUUUAGAACCACGAUGCUUUCUUUUUUUCCCCCUUUCUCUUCUGUUCCAUCCUUUCCCUCAGUGGUCGGAGGGGGUGUCAUAGGAGGCUGGGAAAGGAAAGCAAGAAUCCUCUUGGGCUGAGUCACAGAAAAAGCAUGGAGAGACGGAGGGUGUGGAGUAGAUUGGGAGGCCCACCAGACAGGGCUUGGGGAAGUGGACAGCAGCAUGGGAGAGGAUGGAGAGGACCUAGAAGUCAAGGGCAUGGCCAAGCACCUGUGAGGGUCCUGGAGCAGUGGGCAACUACAUCGCCCGGGCCAGCAGCCCUCCCUAGAUACUCAAGACCAGAGCUGCCAGAACCUGGGAUCAAGUUGGGUUCAAGUUGGGUUCAGAGAGUCAGCCCAGGGGUUUCUAGAAUAGAGACAGAAGGAUCUUGGGAAUGCGGCUUCCAGGAAUCUCAGGCAAUGUGCCCCCACCUCACACUGACUGCAGAGCUCAGAGUCAUACAACGUCCAUCACGCUCGGAGUCAUACAACAUCCAUCACAUUCACUCUGGCGCCCCUGGUAGAUGCUUAAAUAUUCCUGGUGUUCAAUCCCAUACUCAUUGCAUCAUAGUUCUUUUAGAGCUGAGGGACCUUAAAGAGGAUCAGGGCCUAUCUCCUUGUGUUAUAGAUGCAGAAACUGAGGCCCAGUGACAAGGAAAGACAUGCCCAAAAUCAUGCUGCCAGACUGACCACAUCCUUUGCUUCUUCUCUGCCUUCUAGCCAAAGAUGGAGACUAUGGUACACUCUUCACAGUCAAGGGCAGGGGACAGAGGAGAGGCGGUGCCCAGGCAGGAUGCAACUAUCUCCAAGAGAUAGUUAGAGGAUGGCAGCCUAUCUUGAGUUCUGGCUGCUCUGCCCAGGAGGUCCCUUUGAACGGCCAGAGAUGGUCCCCAAUGCUGUUGGCCUCCUGCAGAGGAAAGAGCCCAAGGCUAGGAAUGGAAAUUCUUGGUUCUAUUCCUGGCUGUGCCCUAACUCUUCAUAUGACCUUCAAUGUGACCUUGAGCAUGCACCUUCCUCUGGCCUCAGUGUGUCCAGUGAGAGGCUAGACCCAGCCAGGCAUGGUGACUCACUCCUAUAAUCUGAGCACUUUAGGAGGCUGAGGCAGGCAGAUCAUGAGGUCAGGAGUUUGAGAUCAGCCUGACCAACAUGGUGAAACCCUGUCUCUACUAAAAAUACAACAAAUUAGCCAGGUGUGGUGGUGGGUGCCUGUAAUCCCAGCUACUCAGGAGGCUAUCGCAGGAGAAUCACUUGAACCCCGGAGGUGGAGGUUGCAGUGAGCCAAUAUCACGCCACUGUACUCCAGCCUGGGCGACAGAGCAAGACUGUCUCAAAAAAAAAAAAAAAAAA